rnacentral:rRNA from 1 species
CGUGUAGGCUGCUCGGAAAGUCGGAUGUGAAAGCCCUGGGCUCAACCUAGGAAGAGCAUUCGAAACUUCUGAGCUUGAGUUUCGGAGAGGAAGGCGGAAUUCUCGGUGUAGAGGUGAAAUUCGUAGAUAUCGAGAGGAACAUCGGUGGCGAAGGCGGCCUUCUGGACGAAAACUGACGCUGAGACGCGAAAGCGUGGGGAGCAAACA